rnacentral:lncRNA from 1 species
AUGGUGUCAGUAAUUAACACUGUGGACACCUCUCAUAGGAACCUGAUCCAUGAUGCACAGAUGGACUUAUUAUGGCACCUGCCUAUCAACCUGUUCCUCAGAUAGGUCCGUCAAAAUUUUUGAUGUGUGAAAGGGAGGGCAGAUCCUCAUGGAAGACCUCAAAGGACAUGAGGGACCAGUGUGGCAAGUUGCCUGGGCCCAUCCCAUGUAUGGCAAUAUCUUGGCCUCCUGUUCCUUUGACUGGCAAGUCAUUAUCUGGAAGAAGAAGAAGAAAAAAAAAAACGGCACUUGGGAGAAGACCUAUGAACUCUCAGGACAUGACUCCUCAGUGGACUCUGUUUGCUGGGCCCCUCAUUACAGUGACCUGAUCCUGGCCUGUGGGAGUUCACAUGGGGCCACCUCACUGCUGACCUAUACAGGGGAAGGCCAGUGGGAAGUGAAGAAGAUUAACAAGGCUCACAUAAUUAGUUGUAAUGCUGUCAGUUGGGCACUGGCUUUAGGCCUGGAAGUCUUAUAGACCAACCAUUAGGAUGGAAACCCAAUUGCAUUGAGAAGUUUGCAUCAGGUGGCUGUGACAGCCUCAUCAACAUAUGGAAGGAAGAGGAAAAUGGUCAGCUGAAAGAUGUUCGAAGGUUAGAAGCACAAAGCGACUCCGUUCAAGGCAUUGCUUGGACCCCCUCCAUUGGCUUGCCCACCAGCACCAUUACGAGCUGCUCUUAGGAUGGCCAAGUGUUUAUUUUGACCUGCCAUGAUGCCUCGGGCAGUAUGUGGUCACCCAAACUUCUAUACAAGUUCAAUGACGUUGUGCGGCACGUGAACUGGUCCACCACAGCGAACCUCCUAUGUCAAGUAGAGAGAAUAAGGUUACCUUGUGGAAAGAGUUGGUGGGUGGACAGUAGGUGAGCAUCAGUGAUGUCAACAAGAGCCAGGGUUGUGUGUUAGCCUCCAUCACAGAGGGCCAAGAGAAUGA